rnacentral:rRNA from 1 species
CUACGGGUCGCACCAGUGAGGAAUAUUGGUCAAUGGGCGAAAGCCUGAACCAGCCAAUCCGCGUGCAGGAUGACUGCCCUAUGGGUUGUAAACUGCUUUUAUACAGGAAGAACUUCCCCGACGUGUCGGGGCGUGACUGUACUGUAAGAAUAAGCAUCGGCUAACUCCGUGCCAGCAGCCGCGGGUGAAUACGGAGGAUGCAAGCGUUAUCCGGAUUUAUUAGGUCUAAAGGGUGCGUAGGCGGAUGAUUAAGUCAGUGGUGAAAUCCUACAGCUUAACUGUAGAACUGCCAUUGAUACUGGUUAUCUUGAGUUUAGUUGAGGUAGGCGGAAUGUGUGGUGUAGCGGUGAAAUGCUUAGAUAUCACACAGAACACCGAUUGCGAAGGCAGCUUACUAAGCUACAACUGACGCUGAGGCACGAAAGCGUGGGGAGCGAACAGGAUUAGAUACCCCUGUAGUC